rnacentral:tRNA from 1 species
CCCGCCCUAGCUCAAUGGUCAGAGCAUCCGGCUGUAGACCGGAGGGUUCCCGGUUCAACUCCGGGGGGCGGGACCA